rnacentral:rRNA from 1 species
AUUGAACGCUGGCGGCAUGCCUAACACAUGCAAGUCGAACGGCAGCACGGGAGCUUGCUCCUGGUGGCGAGUGGCGGACGGGUGAGUAAUGCAUAGGAAUCUGCCCAGUAGCGGGGGACAACUUGGGGAAACUCAAGCUAAUACCGCAUGCGCCCUACGGGGGAAAGCGGGGGACCUUCGGGCCUCGCACUAUUGGAUGAGCCUAUGUCAGAUUAGCUUGUUGUGGGGUAACGGCCUACCAAGGCGACGAUCUGUAGCUGGUCUGAGAGGACGAUCAGCCACACUGGGACUGAGACACGGCCCAGACUCCUACGGGAGGCAGCAGUGGGGAAUAUUGCACAAUGGGCGAAAGCCUGAUGCAGCAAUGCCGCGUGUGUGAGAAGGCCUGCGGGUUGUAAAGCACUUUCAGUAGGGAGGAAACAGUAGCCGGUUAAUAUACCGGUUGCCUUGACGUUACCGUACAGAAGAAGCACCGGCUAACU